CAUGCAACGGUGGGGUCCCUCAGCCUGGCCUGUGCCCCCUUGCAAUCUGGGACCCCUCAGGGGAUGUCAGAGAGCCGGUUUCAGCCUGAUCCCGCAGGCCAAGCUGAGGGACCCCACUGGUGCACG
rnacentral:pre_miRNA from 1 species